CACGCAAAAUAGGAAUAAACAGAAGAAAACGGAAAAGGUGGGGGAAGUCGUCAAGAGCUCCGAUCCCACAGGCCACAGCUACCCAUCGACGAUCGACUCCGGUCUCCGGUUACUCCCAAAUCUGCCGAGACGAGCCCGGGAAUCUCAACGCGCGAGCGGAUGAAGGGAACCCUGCGGCGCGAAGCGAGCUCGAGGUGAUGAUGAGUUGUUACGGUUUAUGGACGGAGCAAGCAAGGAGCCUCUCCACAAGGACUACUACAAAGUUCUGGAGGUUGACUAUGAUGCAUCUGAUGACACGAUCAAAUUGAGUUAUAGAAGAUUAGCUUUGAUGUGGCAUCCAGAUAAGCAUAAGGGAGAUAGCGAUGUCACAGCUAAAUUUCAGGAGAUUAAUGAAGCAUACAAGGUUUUAAGUGAUCCAGCUAAGCGAUUAGAAUAUGACCUUUCCGGCUGUUAUGAGAUCAAUCAAUAUACUUUGCGUGUAAGAUUUUCUUGUUCUUUAGCCAGACAGCAGUCACUUCAAAUUAUCAUUUUUGCACUUCAGCUUAUAGUCUCUGUCCUCUCUUGUAUUUCAGGAGUAUCUUACAAGAUUUAAGGGCAUGAUACUUACCUGCAAUGGCCUUGGCAUAGAUCACAACUCAAAAUGGGCUCGACACUUGAGGGAAUUGAAGCCCCAUUGAUCAACAGGUACAGAUGUACCAUCACUGAUGCUCAUCAGAUUUAUUGUACUUUGUUAAAUACGCUGUCUAGUGUCACAUACAGUGGUACUUUAGUACUUUACCCCUUUCUGCCGAAAGAGAUCCAUGUAUACUAUUUCCAGGUCUCUUAUUGGUGACUGACUGGUCGUGGAUACAGAAUUAAAUUUUUUCCCCCAAUAUAAGCGGAGCCCAAAAGAAACUAAAUACCGGAAUGGACUAUUUUAGCCUCGCAA